rnacentral:rRNA from 1 species
GAUCCUGGUCUCAGAUAGAACGCUAGCGGGAUUUCUUACACAUGCAAGUCGAUCGGCAGCACGGACUUCGGUCUGGUGGCGAGUUGCGAACGGGUGAGUAAUGUAUCGGAACGUGCCUAGUAGCGGGGGAUAACUUCGCGAAAGCGUAGCUAAUACCGCAUACAACCUACGGGGGAAAGCAGGGGAUCGCAAGACCUUGCGCUAUUAGAGCGGCCGAUAUCGGAUUAGCUAGUUGGUGGGGUAACGGCUCACCAAGGCGACGAUCCGUAGCUGGUUUGAGAGGACGACCAGCCACACUGGGACUGAGACACGGCCCAGACUCCUACGGGAGGCAGCAGUGGGGAAUUUUGGACAAUGGGGGAAACCCUGAUCCAGCCAUCCCGCGUGUGCGAUGAAGGCCUUCGGGUUGUAAAGCACUUUUGGCAGGAAAGAAACGUACAUGGGUUAAUACCGCCGUGAAUCUGACUGUACCUGCA